rnacentral:rRNA from 1 species
AGCAGCCGCGGUAAUUCCAGCUCCAAUAGCGUAUAUUAAAGUUGUUGCAGUUAAAAAGCUCGUAGUUGAAUUUCGGGAUCAAAUUGUUGGUCGUGCCUCGGUACGCACUGGUAUUAUUGGUUCCUACCUUCUGAAGAACCGCGAUGUCAUUAAUUUGGUGUCGUGGGGAAUCAGGACUGUUACUUUGAAAAAAUUAGAGUGUUUAAAGCAGGCUUACGCUUGAAUACAUUAGCAUGGAAUAAUGAAAUAGGACGUUUGAUUCUAUUUUGUUGGUUUCUAGGAUUGACGUAAUGAUUAAUAGGGAUAGUUGGGGGCAUUAGUAUUCAAUUGUCAGAGGUGAAAUUCUUGGGUUUAUUGAAGACUAACUACUGCGAAAGCAAUUUGCCAAGGAUGUUUUCAUUAAUCAAGAACGAAAGUUAGGGGAUCGAAGACGAUCAGAUACCGUCGUAGUCUUAACCAUAAACUAUGCCGACUAGGGAUCGGAUGAUGUUAAUUUUUAAUGACUCAUUCGGCGCCUUAC